GCCUUCGUGGCGCAAUUGAUUAGCGCGAUCGGCUGUUAACCCAAAGGUUGGUGGUUCGAUUACACCCGGAGGUG